AUUGAACGCUGGCGGCAUGCCUAACACAUGCAAGUCGAACGGCAGCACAGUAAAGACUUCGGUCUUUAUGGGUGGCGAGUGGCGGACGGGUGAGUAACGCGUAGGAAUCUGUCCUGGAGGGAGAGAUAACCCGAGGAAACUCGGGCUAAUACCGCAUGAUAUCGAGAGAUCAAACGCAGGGGACCCUUCGGGGCCUUGCGCUCUAGGAUGAGCCUACGUCGGAUUAGCUAGCUGGUGGGGUAAAGGCCUACCAAGGCGACGAUCCGUAGCUGGGUUGGCGAGCUGACCAACCACACUGGGAUGGAGACACGGCCCAGAACCCUGCGGGAGGCAGCAGUGGGGAAUCUUGGACAAUGGGGGAAACCCUGAUCCAGCGAUGCCGCGUGUGUGAAGAAGGCUUUCGGGUUCUACAGCACUUUAGUCGGGGAAGAAAAGUAAUAAGUAAAUAACUUAUUGCUCUGACGGGCCCCAAAGAACAAGCACCGGCUAACUGCGUUCCAGCCGCCGCCGUAA
rnacentral:rRNA from 1 species